GACGAACGCUGGCGGCGUGCUUAACACAUGCAAGUCGAACGAAGAGCGACGGAAGCUUGCUUCUAUCAAUCUUAGUGGCGAACGGGUGAGUAACGCGUAAUCAACCUGCCCUUCAGAGGGGGACAACAGUUGGAAACGACUGCUAAUACCGCAUACGAUCUAAUCUCGGCAUCGAGGAUGGAUGAAAGGUGGCCUCUACAUGUAAGCUAUCACUGAAGGAGGGGAUUGCGUCUGAUUAGCUAGUUGGAGGGGUAACGGCCCACCAAGGCGAUGAUCAGUAGCCGGUCUGAGAGGAUGAACGGCCACAUUGGGACUGAGACACGGCCCAGACUCCUACGGGAGGCAGCAGUGGGGAAUCUUCCGCAAUGGACGAAAGUCUGACGGAGCAACGCCGCGUAAGUGAUGACGGCCUUCGGGUUGUAAAGCUCUGUUAAUCGGGACGAAAGGCCUUCUUGCGAAUAGUGAGAAGGAUUGACGGUACCGGAAUAGAAAGCCACGGCUAACUACGUG
rnacentral:rRNA from 1 species